CAGGACUCCACAAUACCACGAUGGGUGCCAGUACAGGACAUCCAACCAGCCAUGGAAAAGGAGGACAGGGAUGAAGCCUCCUCCCCUUCAGACCUUCUGGCUAAGGAAGAAGCCACAGAUGCAGUGGUGGGUCAUUCUCGACAACUCCCAUGCUUCCUCACCUGCUAUGAACCUACAGAUGCUCUCUCUGGACCAGAGUCAUGCUUCCUUAAUGUACACCAUUCCAUUUACCAUUACUUUAUUGCUCUGGUUUCAUCUAUGGGAAGUUGAAUGGUAGAAGGGCACUGAACAGCUCCAUGAAGAGGAAACCACACAAGCCUGAG
rnacentral:lncRNA from 1 species